AAGACACUUCGCAUCUUUGCACUCGGAUGUUUGCUUUCUAUUCGACUCAUUCGAUGUGAACACAACCAGAAUUAUCAUAUUUGAAUAAGGAAACUACAGGCCUGCUUGGAGAUGUCUAAUCUAUGGGAAGGGUACUCUGGAACCUUGGACUUAAAACAGCAUGCCUUGGUUUUUGCAAGAACCAAGGAACCAGAGAAUACAUGUAUGUAAUGGACAGGGCAAUCCAGAUUUAAAAAAUGAGAUGAAGCACUGCAUGGAAUGGAUCUUGCCGACAUGACAUCUGGCCUUGAAAACAUAAACCCAUCAAAUUAGUCCACCACUACUACAUGUCGAGCGGCAACCCCAACAGGAGUAGAAAUGAACAUCAAUGAAUACUUGGCCAGGGUAACCCAACAUCAACAACAUGGACAUCAAUGACAGAACUGGGUUAUCCAUCUGGUCUAUCUCUGCCAUGGAAGAACACAAGUACCAGUCAUCUCUGAACCUCCCUGUUGUCUAGUGAGCCAAAUAGGAGUAGAUAACAACAUCAACAAAUUACUUUCCCAGCCCAACCAACGGGAACAAUGAUGACAGCAAACCGGAUCUCUCCAUCUAAUUCAUGCCCUUGGAGAUGGUGGGACUGUCAACUAAUCUACCCAUCUGGUGCUGACCCAUCCACUAGCCACUGUGCUUCUACCACCUUUGGCCAUCUACUAGCCUUGACCCUUCCUGAAGCUAUGGCCAUCUACGAGUAAUGGCCAAGUCACCAGCUAUGGCCAAUCCACAGGCUUCAGCUUAUCCACCAUCAACAUUGAAGGAUCCUUCAGGAAAACACUGCCGAAAUGUUUCCUACCAGAGAAGCUACCAUUUCUAAGCAUUUAGCAUAAGGUGGAUUGAGUAAGUCAAAGACACACAUAAGGAAUAAAAUGCCCUCAUCAGGUCAUACUACAGUCCCACAAAAAGGUCAGCCUGGAUGAAAACAUUCAAUUCAAGGUUCACAAAACUAUGCCAGAAGGAAAUAGGGAUCCAACAAGUAGUUUCUUCCAGCUGGGAUGUCCACCAAGAAAAGCAAAUAUUUUUCUUUAGUAACUUCACCAUACUUUUUCCCCUUUUAUCUGAUGGGAAAAACCCAUGCAAAUUUGGAUAACACUUCAAUACAAGUUGAAAAAUGUUUGUACGAUCAGGAUAAAGAAUACAUACCCAUAAAAUAAAAUUGCUAAAUAAUUC